rnacentral:SRP_RNA from 1 species
CCGUGCUAGGCGGGGUGCUAGCGGUGCCCUGUACCCGCAAUCCGCUCUAGCGGGGCUGAAUCCCCUCCCGAGGGGCACAGGCCCCGGGGUCUGCGCCCUGUGCGCGACGUUGAUGGUUUGGUCCCUUGGCGAUGAAGACCCGUGAACCAGGUCAGGUCCGGAAGGAAGCAGCCUUAAGCGGCCACCUUCAGGCGCCGCGGGAGCACCGAACAGGAGUCGCGAUACGGCGGCCGCGCCCCGGGUACCGGCCUCGACGGUGGGUGCACGG